GAUGAACGCUGGCGGCGUGCCUAAUACAUGCAAGUCGAGCGAACGGACGAGAAGCUUGCUUCACUGAUGUUAGCGGCGGACGGGUGAGUAACACGUGGAUAACCUACCUAUAAGACUGGGAUAACUUCGGGAAACCGGAGCUAAUACCGGAUGAUAUUUUGAACCGCAUGGUUCAAAAGUGAAAGACGGUCUUGCUGUCACUUAUAGAUGGAUCCGCGCUGCAUUAGCUAGUUGGUAAGGUAACGGCUUACCAAGGCAACGAUGCAUAGCCGACCUGAGAGAGUGAUCGGCCACACUGGAACUGAGACACGGUCCAGACUCCUACGGGAGGCAGCAGUAGGGAAUCUUCCGCAAUGGGCGAAAGCCUGACGGAGCAACGCCGCGUGAGUGAUGAAGGUCUUCGGAUCGUAAAACUCUGUUAUUAGGGAAGAACAUAUGUGUAAGUAACUGUGCACAUCUUGACGGUACCUAAUCAGAAAGCCACGGCUAACUACGUG
rnacentral:rRNA from 1 species